AGCCAACCGCAAGUUCCGCAUUCCCAUGCCCUGAAACAGUAUAAGUAGCUGGGACAAGAGAAAAAUAAAGGCUUGCUUGCUUGCUCCAUGAACUGACUCUGCUGUUCUGUUAAUCAAUCCCGACGCCCUUCUCCUGUCUCGCCGUCACCGUCGCGCUGGACGCGACAUCCUGCAGCACUGCUUCACUGCUCAUGAAGCUUCCCUCAGGCAGAUGAGUCCGGGGACUUGAACCCAGAACACUGCUCAGCUAUGGCUUAGGAUGAUGUAGGGAACAGAAACAGGACCCUGGAACAUCAGAGCACUCAUCACUGGACUCACAAUGAAGACUUCUGCAUGUCAAAGGAAGAGAUGGUUGAAUGAUGAGGGUGCCAUUUCAACAAAUAACAGACUAGUUUCAUUCACUUUCAGUAUAAUUGUCCUUUUUUCCUUAAAUUUCAAGACACUAUCUCUUCACUUUCCACAGAACAAAGAACAAAGGAUCGGAUUGUAAGCACUAUAUUUAAUCAUUGUCCAAAUAGUAAAAAAAAAAAAAAAAAAGUUAAUAAUUAGUUAAGUAAAAUAAUAUCACUAAAUAAAAUUUAUUGUACUUACCCAAGUAGAAUAUCUUAAAAUCACUUUAUUGUGGGAAACGAUGAUUUAUAAGGCAGUUGGCCCAUGUGUACAGUGAUAUAUGUCCCAGUGAUAUGUAUAUGUACACCACAUCCAUCAACUCAGUCAAGUGAA